rnacentral:rRNA from 1 species
UACGGGGGGGGCAAGCGUUGUUCGGAUUUACUGGGCGUAAAGGGCGCGUAGGCGGCGUGACAAGUCACUUGUGAAAUCUCCGGGCUUAACUCGGAACGGUCAAGUGAUACUGUCGUGCUAGAGUACAGAAGGGGCAACUGGAAUUCUCGGUGUAGCGGUGAAAUGCGUAGAUAUCGAGAGGAACACCUGCGGCGAAGGCGGGUUGCUGGGCUGAUACUGACGCUGAGGCGCGAAAGCUAGGGGGAGCGAACGGG